rnacentral:rRNA from 1 species
UACGAAGGGGGCUAGCGUUGCUCGGAAUCACUGGGCGUAAAGCGCACGUAGGCGGAUUGUUAAGUCAGGGGUGAAAUCCUGGAGCUCAACUCCAGAACUGCCUUUGAUACUGGCGAUCUCGAGUCCGGGAGAGGUGAGUGGAACUGCGAGUGUAGAGGUGAAAAUUCGUAGAUAUUCGCAAGAACACCAGUGGCGAAGGCGGCUCACUGGCCCGGUACUGACGCUGAGGAGCGAAAGCCAGGGGAGCAAAGCGGGG